CGGAACUCCUCACUGAGCUAAGUAGGGUGAUGAGGAGUUUUAAGUGAGCUUUUCGUGUUCUAGUGCAUACCCAGAUGGUCUAACAGUUUGACUCUGGAGGCAGCGGUGGUAAUGACAGAGUCCAAGUCUCUUCGUUCCCUGUGUUCCUGGAUUAUUCUCGUGGUGAUGUGAUCCUGCACUCAGAAGUUUGGACAGUGGCCUCCUGUUUCCCCAGCUUUCUGACUGGCAGAUACCACUCAGUUGGCAUGGACUUCAUCUUUCCCCACCUCUUACCUGCCUGAUGCUUAAGAGAGCCUUCCCCUGGUCUCUGGAUUGGCCAGAACACCUGCAGGUGUCUCCUAUGGCUGGCGGCUGGAAUCUGGCUUUCAUCAGUGCUAAAGACCCAACCUCAGAAAGCCCUGC
rnacentral:lncRNA from 1 species